AGGAAUAUUGGACAAUGGAGGCAACUCUGAUCCAGCCAAGCCGCGUGAAGGAAUAAGGCCCUAUGGGUUGUAAACUUCUUUUAGACGGGACAAAACCCCUUUACGUGUAAAGGGUUGAUGGUACUGUCAGAAUAAGCAUCGGCUAACUUCGUGCCAGCAGCCGCGGUAAUACGAAGGAUGCAAGCGUUAUCCGGAAUUAUUGGGUUUAAAGGGUGCGUAGGCGGACUAAUAAGUCAGUGGUGAAAGCCUGCAGCUUAACUGCAGAAUUGCCAUUGAUACUGUUAGUCUUGAGUACAGUUGAGGUAGGCGGAAUGUGUCAUGUAGCGGUGAAAUGCUUAGAUAUGACACAGAACACCGAUUGCGAAGGCAGCUUGCUAAGCUGUAACUGACGCUGAGGCACGAAAGCGUGGGGAGCAAACA
rnacentral:rRNA from 1 species